rnacentral:rRNA from 1 species
CAGACAACCAGGAUGUUGGCUCAGAAGCAGCCACACAUUUAAAGAGUGCGUAAUAGCUCACUGGUCGAGUGAUUGUGCGCCGAAGAUGUCCGGGGCUAAACGUGACACCGAAGCGAUGGGUGCAUCUGAAAGGAUGCGCGGUAGAGGAGCAAUGUGCAGAGGCAGAAGCCGUAUCGAGAGGCACGGUGGACACUGCACAAGAGAGAAUGCCGGUAUGAGUAGCGAGAGGCAUGCGAGAAACAUGCCCGUCGAAAGCCCAAGGUUUCCUGGGGAAGGUUCAUCCGCCCAGGGUAAGUCGGGGCCUAAGCCGAGGACGGAAGUCGUAGGCGAUGGACAGCAGGUGUAGAUUCCUGCACUACCGAUGGAAUGAAGCAGUGACACAGAAGGAUAACUCGAGCAGGGUGAUGGUCAACCCUGUGCAAGCAUCAAGGUUGGGUUGUAGUGAAGUACGCAAUCCUAUAAGCUGAGGUGUGAUGCGGACCGAAAUUUCAGUAGGGAAGCGAGUGAGUUCACGCUGGCGAGAAAAGCUGCUAGUACAUCCAAAGGUACCCGUACCGGAAACCGACGCAGGUGGGCGAGGAGAGAAUCCUGAGACGAACGGGAGAACCCUUGUUAAGGAACUCGGCAAAAUGACCCCGUAACUUCGGGAUAAGGGGUGCCUGCGAGAGCAGGCCGCAGAGAAUAGUCACAAGCGACUGUUUAGCAAAAACACAGGUAUCUGCGAAAGCGAGAGCUGACGUAUAGGUGCUGACACCUGCCCGGUGCUGGAAGGUUAAGGGAACAUGUUAGAGCAAUCGAAGCAUCGAACCGAAGCCCCAGUAAACGGCGGCCGUAACUAUAACGGUCCUAAGGUAGCGAAAUUCCUUGUCGGGUAAGUUCCGACCCGCACGAAUGGUGUAACGACUUGUGAGCUGUCUCAACAGGGGGCCCGGUGAAAUUGAAGUAUGGGUGAAGAUGCCCAUUACCCGCGACUGGACGGAAAGACCCCGUAGAGCUUUACUGCAGCCUGAUAUUGAGUUUCGGUAACUGAUGCACAGGAUAGGUGGGAGUCUGAGAGACAUGGGUUUCGGCUCAUGUGGAGACGGUGUUGG